CACCCCGGAUGACGUUCAGUGACGAAGACGUGGGACAGGCAAUGGCGGCGUUUUUCAAAGCGUGUUGCAAUUAAAAUAUGGUUAGGGGAUUUGAAAACAUUCGUGGUCAGGGAGAGACCAGCACUUGAGACCUGCAGCCCCGCUAAAUCAGACGGUGGGUUAGCCGCCACCCAGACCUGUGGCCUCCACUGACGCACCCAUCACUAAGGCGGCAGACAACAGCACUGACACUGAACAUACAGCUCUGUGCAAACGUUUUAGACGCGUAAUCCUAUUGAUGACGGAGGACACGCUUUCUACAGACAAAUAUGCCAAGACAUGGUGCUCUACAUUGACAGUACAAUGCUCAGGAGAGUCCGCGUACUCGAGAUGCAACCUUUCCAGAGUUCACUCUCAGCGGCUCCAGGUCUUCCUCAGAGCUGCAGGCGCUGUGCUGCAUCCUCCGGGAGAAAAUCCUGCGACGCGACUGGGCGCUGAGGUCCAGCAGGUCGAAGGAAUCG